GGCACUGCUGGGUUGACUUGGAAGCUUUUAACCUCGUUAUUGUAUUAAUAAACACUUUGGAGGUGAACUUUUGACCACAUGCUCAGCAGCAUCCUUUCCUCCUGGAUACUUCACUCGAAGGAGGGACGAAGCAGAAAGGUGCCAGAGGAGAAGAAAACCAAAGAGGAUGAGAGACAGCUGCCACCUUACUAA
rnacentral:lncRNA from 1 species